GGUUCAUUCAAAUUUCUGCCCUAUCAACUUUCGACGGCUGGGUCUUGGCCAGCCAUGGUGACAACGGGUAACGGAGGGUUAGGGCUCGACCCCGGAGAGGGAGCCUGAGAAACGGCUACCACAUCCAAGGAAGGCAGCAGGCGCGCAAAUUACCCAAUCCUGAUCAGGGAGGUAGUGACAAUAAAUACUGAUACAGGGUCCUUUUGGGUCUUGUAAUUGGAAUGAGUACAAUUUAAAUCCCUUAACGAGGAACAAUUGGAGGGCAAGUCUGGUGCCAGCAGCCGCGGUAAUUCCAGCUCCAAUAGCGUAUAUUAAAGUUGUUGCAGUUAAAAAGCUCGUAGUUG
rnacentral:rRNA from 1 species